GGUACAGAUGUUUUGAUGGACAACAAUGCUCCACUUCAUGGAUUAAGUACAAAGGUGGCGUCUUUGACCUGGUAUAGCAGCUACGGUCUUUGACAGGUAUACACCCAACGCCCUUCUUGUGCGGAAUGAUAGAGCGACUGACAUAAUUGCAGUCCUCUGGUGGAAAUGAUUACGCAAGAAUAAAUUUAAGUUUUUUUUCUGAUGUUUUCUUUUAUUCAUACCUAUGAUUGAACAGAAACGCAAACAUAUGCUAUGAUGCUGGCCCCUGGUUGAAAUUAUUUUUUUAGGAGCAAGAAAGAGAACGGUAUGAAGCCAGAGAAGUGUUGCGGACUUGUUGCGGCGGCGCCCAAAGCUCCAGAAGCCAGGGUUGACUUGGAAUAGUUUAACAAAGGCCGGUCGUUCGCGGCAAAUCUUUUAAGAUUUUGUCCCCUUGCGAAUACUUAGCUAAACUUUCACGAUUCCGCUGCUGAUUAUUCAAUCUUCGUUCUUCUUUUUUUUUUUAAAAAAAAGAAAACUCAACCUUUGAUCUGGUCGCCUCUUUUUUUUUUUGAACAAUUGUGAUGUUACUGCUUUCUCUGAUAAGGUCUUCUAGAAUGGCUAUUCUCAGAAAGAUAAAAAGGGGUCUUCUCUUCUAGAAUGGCAUGGGUAAGACAAAAGAACAUGGUAGCACCAGAGAUUUGGGUUUGGGUGCCUGUCUCUGUUCAAUGCUAAUGCUGUCAUGUGCCACAUGUAUUUUUACCGAGUCAGUAUGAUAAUUAAACUUAUUCCUGUGAAAUUCCAGCAAAUGCCCUGU
rnacentral:lncRNA from 1 species